rnacentral:rRNA from 1 species
GGGCCCGCACAAGCAGCGGAGCAUGUGGUUUAAUUCGAAGCAACGCGAAGAACCUUACCAGGCCUUGACAUCCUGUGACAGCAUAAGAGAAGAUGUUUUCCCUUCGGGGACACAGAGACAGGUGGUGCAUGGUUGUCGUCAGCUCGUGUCGUGAGAUGUUGGGUUAAGUCCCGCAACGAGCGCAACCCCUAUGUUUAGUUGCCAUCAUUAAGUUGGGCACUCUGGACAGACUGCCCGUGAAAACGGGAGGAAGGUGGGGAUGACGUCAAAUCAUCAUGCCCCUUACGGCCUGGGCUACACACGUGCUACAAUGGUCUGAACAAAGGGUAGCCAAGCAGUGAUGCGGAGCCAAUCCUCAAAAAUCAGAUCUCAGUUCGGAUUGCAGGCUGCAACUCGCCUGCAUGAAGUCGGAGUUGCUAGUAAUCGCGGAUCAGCAUGUCG